rnacentral:rRNA from 1 species
GACAGAGGUGCCAAGCGUUAGGCGGAAUCACUGGGCGUAAAGCGCACGUAGGCGGACUCUUAAGUCAGGGGUGAAAUCCUGGAGCUCAACUCCAGAACUGCCUUUGAUACUGAGAAUCUUGAGUACGGGAGAGGUGAGUGGAACUGCGAGUGUAGAGGUGAAAAUUCGUAGAUAUUCGCAAGAACACCAGUGGCGAAGGCGGCUCACUGGCCCGUAACUGACGCUGAGGCACGAAAGCGUGGGGAGCAAACAGG